rnacentral:rRNA from 1 species
GACGAACCGUGCAAACGUUGUUCGGAAUCACUGGGCUUAAAGGGCGCGUAGGCGGGCAGGCAAGUCGAAGGUGAAAUCCCACGGCUCAACCGUGGAAGUGCCCCCGAUACUGCCUGUCUCGAGGGAGAUAGGGGCGUGCGGAACUUCCGGUGGAGCGGUGAAAUGCGUAGAUAUCGGAAGGAACACCAGUGGCGAAGGCGGCUCACUGGCCCGAUACUGACGCUGAGACACGAAAGCGUGGGGAGCAAACAGG